CCUACGGGAGACAGCAGUAGGGAAUCUUCCACAAUGGGCGCAAGCCUGAUGGAGCAACACCGCGUGAGUGAAGAAGGGUUUCGGCUCGUAAAGCUCUGUUGUUGGAGAAGAAAGUGCGUGAGAGUAACCGUUCACGCAGUGACGGUAUCCAACCAGAAAGUCUCGGCUAACUACGUGCCUGCAGCCGCGGUAAUACGUAGGUGGCAAGCGUUAUCCGGAUUUAUUGGGCGUAAAGCGAGGGCAGGCGGUUGCUUAGGUCUGUUGUAAAGGCCGUCGGCUUAACCGAAGAAGUGCAUCGGAAACCGGGCGACUUGGGUGCAGAAGAGGACAGUGAAACUCCAGGUGUGGCGGUGGAAUGCGUAGAUAUAUGGAAGAACACCAGUGGCAAGGGCGGCUGUCUGGUCUGCAACUGACGCUGAGGCUCGAAAGCAUGGUAGCGAACAGGAUUAGAUACCCGAGUAGUC
rnacentral:rRNA from 1 species